GUGGGGAAUCUUGCGCAAUGGGCGAAAGCCUGACGCAGCCAUGCCGCGUGAAUGAUGAAGGUCUUAGGAUUGUAAAAUUCUUUCACCGGGGACGAUAAUGACGGUACCCGGAGAAGAAGCUCCGGCUAACUUCGUGCCAGCAGCCGCGGUAAUACGAAGGGGGCUAGCGUUGCUCGGAAUUACUGGGCGUAAAGGGCGCGUAGGCGGACAGCUUAGUCAGAGGUGAAAGCCCAGGGCUCAACCUUGGAAUUGCCUUUGAUACUGGCUGUCUUGAGUUUGGUAGAGGUGAGUGGAACUCCGAGUGUAGAGGUGAAAUUCGUAGAUAUUCGGAAGAACACCAGUGGCGAAGGCGACUCACUGGCCCAAUACUGACGCUGAGGCGCGAAAGCGUGGGGAGCAAACAGGAUUAGAUACCCUGGUAGUCC
rnacentral:rRNA from 1 species